GGGUCAUACCAGUUUGAAACACCAGUUUCUGUAAGAUCUCCGAAGUGAAGCAACGUAGAGACUACUUAGUAUAUAGACGGGUGACUGCUUGGUAAUACCAAGUGCU